rnacentral:rRNA from 1 species
UACAGAGGUCUCAAGCGUUGUUCGGAUUCAUUGGGCGUAAAGGGUGCGUAGGCGGCGCGGUAAGUCGGGUGUGAAAUCUCGGAGCUUAACUCCGAAACUGCAUUCGAUACUGCCGUGCUUGAGGACUGGAGAGGAGACUGGAACUUCCGGUGGAGCGGUGAAAUGUGUUGAUAUCGGAAGGAACGCCGGUGGCGAAAGCGACGUGCUGGACCUCUUCUGACGCUGAGGCGCGAAAGCUAGGGGAGCGAACGGG